rnacentral:rRNA from 1 species
GAUGAACGCUGGCGGCGUGCCUAAUACAUGCAAGUCGAGCGAACGGACGAGAAGCUUGCUUCUCUGAUGUUAGCGGCGGACGGGCGAGUAACACGUGGAUAACCUACCUAUAAGACUGGGAUAACUUCGGGAAACCGGAGCUAAUACCGGAUGAUAUUUUGAACCGCAUGGUUCAAAAGUGAAAGACGGUCUUGCUGUCACUUAUAGAUGGAUCCGCGCUGCAUUAGCUAGUUGGUAAGGUAACGGCUUACCAAGGCAACGAUGCAUAGCCGACCUGAGAGGGUGAUCGGCCACCCUGGAAAUGAGACACGGUCCAGACUCCUAAGGGAGGCAGCAGUAGGGAACUUUCCGAAAUGGGCGAAAGCCUGACGGAGCAACCCCGCGGGAGUGAUGAAGGUCUUCGGAUCGUAAAACUCUUUUAUUAGGGAAGAACAUAUGUGUAAGUAACUGUGCACAUCUUGACGGUACCUAAUCAGAAAGCCACGGCUAACCACGU